CUGCCUGCAUCCCAAACUUUGUGGCCUACAUUCCAGUAAUGAGAAGGCCCAGAUCCAUUUGAAAACAUUUAUAUUAGUUAACAGCCAACAGCUCAGUGCACCAGGAGCCCAAGACUGGAGGUCCUUGUUUCACUCUGAAAGGAUGGCUCUGCAUGGCCUUCCCAUUGUCACUGCCAGAUUCUCUUCAGCCAUAGGAAGGUAUCCUUCACCUCUGGCUUUGUGGGCUGUGGAACAGAUCUCAGGAAGACUUCCAGAAACCUCCCCGGAGUCUGCCUGGUGGUUCCUCGCCUUACCCUACCAGUCCAAGCUCCCAAACCGAACUCCACAGACCAAGCAGCAGACAGCAACAGCUGGUGCCCAAAUGUAGGGCUUGCGUAUGCUGGGUAAAUAUUGAAGCCGCGGUGUGAUCUCUCAGACGUGUUUCAGCCAUUUUUCCACCCACAAUGCUGUAAUGCCAUCUGCCAUAAGGAUUUCAGGAAAACAAAACAGAUCCUGCCACCAUGCCCUUGCAUAUCUAGAACUAUGAGCUAAAUAAACAUCUGUUCUUUACAAAAUUUCCCAGUUAUAAAUAUUUUGUUAUAAUAAAAAAAGAUUAUAUAGUGGGUUUAUCACUUUUAUCAAAUUUUGAA
rnacentral:lncRNA from 1 species